rnacentral:lncRNA from 1 species
CGGAGAUCUUCUGUGUAUAAAGGGCAAAAAAAGCAUCUAACAACGUACUUAGCUAUUCUACGAGCUAUUCUACGAUCUAUUCUACGAGCUAUUCUACGAUCUAUUCUACGAGCUAUUCUACGAGUGGUCUGAGGCAGUUGUUAAAUAAAAAGCGUUUUCAAGAGCAACUUUAGUAACGAUCGUUUCGGGAAACAGCUCAGAGAUCUAACUAUGCUCCUACAAAAGUUCUAAGGAUGAACGUAAUGCAGGAACGGGUAUCAAGAGGUAUUGUUGUCUGGUUUGAACUGAAAGUUGUUGGGCCAUCGGGCCUCUACAGGUAAUGUAGCUGAAUGUUAGGCUGUAACAUUAUCUCUCUCCAGGUAAUGUAGCUGAAUGUUAGGCUGUAACAUGAGCUCUCUCCAGGUAAUGUAGCUGAAUGUUAGGCUGUAACAUUAUCUCUCUCCAGGUAAUGUAGCUGAAUGUUAGGCUGUAACAUGAGCUCUCUCCAGGUAAUGUAGCUGAAUGUUAGGCUGUAACAUUAUCUCUCUCCAGGUAAUGUAGCUGAAUGUUAGGCUGUAACAUGAGCUCUCUCCAGGUAUUGUAGCUGAAUGUUAGGCUGUAACAUUAUCUCUCCAGGUAAUGUAGCUGAAUGUUAGGCUGUAACAUGAGUUCUCUCCAGGUAAUGUAGCUGAAUGUUAGGCUGUAACAUUAUCUCUCUCCAGGUAAUGUAGCUGAAUGUUAGGCUGUAACAUGAGCUCUCUCCAGGUAAUGUAGCUGAAUGCUAGGCUGUAACAUUAUCUCUCUACAGGUAAUGUAGCUGAAUGUUAGGCUCUAACAUUAUCUCAUGGUAUUAUCACAUGGAUAUGACCAGAAAUAAUCAAUGUAAAAGAAUGGGACAGAUCAGACGUUUGUGAAAAUCCAUCUCUUUCCAGACAGAUGCAUGUAAUGUACUGUGAAUAUGAUGUCGUUGAUGUUACCUUGCAGCAUGUCAGGAUUAUGCCAAAUAAACGUAGGGGAUAAUAAUACAUUGUGUGAUUCAUGUUUAUUGACAAGAUG